ensembl:lncRNA
CAAUUGUUUUGGCUAUGCUAGGUCUUUUGCUCAGAUUUUAGAAAGAACAUUCAAAUUUUUACAAAAAGCCUUAUAGAACUUUUAUAUGGAUUGCAUCUAAUCUAUAGAAUAAUAUAAGAAAAAUCAAUCUUAAAUUAUUGGAUUCUUCAGUCUAUGAAAACAUUAAAUCUCUCAUUGGAGAAGGUCAUUAAGAAAAUGUGACUGUGGGUUGAUCCUUGAGAUAAACUUUGGCAAUCCGAAUCUCUUCACCUCCUCUUCUGUCCUUGGAAUAUCCACUCUGCCCACCAUUUCUAUCUUGGGAGCCAUUUUCAAGGACUCAGUCUUGAGAGUGUAAGCUGUUAUUAAGACUGUCUGAUGGUACACAUGGGGCUUCCUUGGUGGCUCAGUGGUAAAGAAUCUGCCUGCUAAUACAGGAGAUGUAGGAGAUAAGGGUUUGAUCCCUGGGUUGGGAAGAACCCUGGAGAAGGAAAUGGAACCCACUCCAGUAUUCUUGCCUGGGAAAUUCCAUGAAGAGAGGAGCCUGGGAGGCUAUAUAGUCCCUGUAGUCACAAAGAGUCAGACAUGCCUGAGUGACUGAGCACGCAAGCACAAUGGUACUCGUGACUGAAGCCCGGUUGCCUUUUCCACAAUGUCAUAAAGUUGGAGUAUGAAGUCUUUUCAGACUGGAGUCUUCCACUUAUUCCAUCUCUCAGCUGUACAGUUUGAGUUCACCAUUCCCAGAAAAGAGCCAGGGUUUGGCUCAUUGUGUAUAUUUCUCUAAUCUCCAUCCUGGAAUGUGAAGUCAAGUGGGCCUUAGAAAGCAUCACUACGAACAAAGCUAGUGGAGGUGAUGGAAUUCCAGUGGAGCUAUUUCAAAUCCUGAAAGAUGAUGCUGUGAAAGUGCUGCAUUCAAUAUGCCAACAAAUUUGGAAAACUCAGCAGUGGCCACAGGACUGGAAAAGGUUAGAAAUUGUCAAACAUGAAGACACAAUUGAAGAAAUUCCCUGGUGCUCCAGUGGUUGAGCAUCUGCCUGCCAAUGCAGGGGACGUGGGUUCCAUCCCUGGUCUGGAAAGAGUCCUCGUGCUGAGGGGCUACUGAGCCCGUGCACCACAACUGCUGAAGCCCUCGUGCGCUAGAGCCCCUUCUCCACAACAAGAGAAGCCCCUGCGAUGGGACG